UACGUAGGGGGCAAGCGUUGUCCGGAAUCAUUGGGCGUAAAGCGCUCGUAGGCGGUCUGUUGCGUCCGCUGUGAAAACUCGGGGCUUAACCCCGAGCCUGCAGUGGAUACGGGCAGACUAGAGGUAGGUAGGGGAGAAUGGAAUUCCCGGUGUAGCGGUGAAAUGCGCAGAUAUCGGGAGGAACACCGGUGGCGAAGGCGGUUCUCUGGGCCUUACCUGACGCUGAGGAGCGAAAGCGUGGGGAGCGAACAGG
rnacentral:rRNA from 1 species